rnacentral:rRNA from 1 species
CCCACUUUGCUUUUGCUUUUUGGGGAUUUUGUUACUUUGAGUAAAUUAGAGUGUUCAAAGCAAACAGUUAAAGCAUUUACUGUGUUUGAAUACUAUAGCAUGGAAUAACAAAAUUGAACAAGCUAAAAUUUUUUGUUCUUUUUUCUUAUUUUGGCUUAGUUACGAUUAAUAGGAGUAGCUUGGGGACAUUCGUAUUCAGAUGUCAGAGGUGAAAUUCUUAGAUUUUCUGGAGACGAACAACUGCGAAAGCAUUUGUCUAAAAUACUUCCAUUAAUCAAGAACGAAAGUUAAGGGAGUGAAGACGAUCAGAUACCGUCGUAAUCUUAACCAUAAACUAUGCCGACUAGGUGUUGGAUGAAAGUGUUAAAAAUAAAAGUCAUCUUUCGAGGUGACUUUUAGAUUGCUUCCUUCAGUACCUUAUGAGAAAUCAAAGUCUUUGGGUUCUGGGGCGAGUAUUCGCGCAAGCGAGAAAGUUAAAAGAAUUGACGGAAGGGCACCACCAGGCGUGGAGCUUGCGGCUUAAUUUGACUCAACACGGGGAA